UAUUUAUUAAUAGCGAGAAACUUCAUCACAAAUACGAAACUGUGUAAACGUGCGGCGUAGUUCGGCAGCCAUAUUAACAGCAAGCUAUUCGAGCGAGACAUGGAGCGAGGCGUGCGCAGCUGAAAAGAUUUUUCUAGAGGAACCUGUGGUGUCAUUGCCUGUGUAACCUCAUUUAAGUAGUAUUAGUGUUGGACAUUUUCACCUUUGGAAGACGGCAUGAUUACAGGCCAACGGAUGACACCUGUUUUAACACCGACUACGCGGCUUUGUGGACCCAUCGUGUUUGGAUUGACGUGCGCACUUUUCCCUGCUCUUGAUUCUGCCAUUUGGAGAUGGUGAUGUGCAAGAGUUACGAAAUGUGUAAACGUGUGCAAGGUCAUCAAGGGAGCAUUCAAGAUGUUUCAUCGCUAAACACAAGCUCAAGUGUCCCAAUAAAUGUCCAAUUUCAACACCAA